CUUUGGUUUUCUUGCCAGAGUAAAUGACUUUCUUCCUAACUGUAAUGUGCAUUCCUCAGGUCUGUUCUUCCCUAUUAGAGCAAUUUAGCCCUAUAUAGCUACUGAUCGUGUUUUAUUUCUAUGCUGGCUAUUGGACUCUAAUUAAAUUCUCAUUGCUACGUUUGUUUACAAAUGACUAAAAUCACAUUCCUGUUCAUUUCAGUGAGUCUUAUCUCAAGGAGCAGCUGCAGAAGCUUUUGAGAUUAGAUUCCAUGACAAUAAAAUGCUGCUGACAGGGAAACCACUGUGCUGGUUUAACGUGGUCUAAUACUGCGCUAUGGGUAAGGUGCAGUUUUCUCACUACCAAGAAGGAAAACUCCACAUUGAUUUGAAGCAAUGGAUUGAUGUUCCUAGUUUGGCCUGGGAAAUUCGACAAUACAACCAGUUGAUCAUGAUCACUGAAUCCCAGUCACACAUGAAUUUGCUAAAGAGAGACAACAUUUGUCCUUCACUGCAUGUUCUUCGUAUCUCAGCUUAGGUCUCUGUUACUGUAAAAACUGCCUGUACACUUUCUUUCUGCAAACUACCACGUCCUGCUGAAGAGGUCACAGAGACGAGACCGUGUUCUUUGUUACCAGCAUGUCGUGAGAUUGGAGUGAUUUUAUUGGCACCA
rnacentral:lncRNA from 1 species